rnacentral:rRNA from 1 species
UACGUAGGGGGCAAGCGUUGUCCGGAAUUAUUGGGCGUAAAGAGCGUGUAGGCGGUCCGGUAAGUCAGCUGUGAAAGUCAAGGGCUCAACCCUUGAAUGCCGGUUGAUACUGUCGGGCUAGAGUCCGGAAGAGGCGAGUGGAAUUCCCGGUGUAGCGGUGAAAUGCGCAGAUAUCGGGAGGAACACCAAUGGCGAAGGCGGCUCUCUGGGCCUUUCCUGACGCUGAGACGCGAAAGCGUGGGGAGCGAACCGG